GAGUUUGAUCCUGGCUCAGGGUUAACGCUGGCGGUGCGCAUAACACAUGCAAGUCGAGCGAGGGCUUAUUUCUCGCAAGAGAGAUGAGUUCCUAGCGGCGAACGGGUGAGUAACACGUGGGCAACCUUUCCUAUCGCGGGGGAUAACACCGGGAAACCGAUGCUAAUACCGCAUGUCGUCACUGAUCGCAUGGUUGGUGAAGAAAGCAGCAAUGCACGAUGGGGUGGGCCCGCGGCCUAUCAGCUAGUCGGUGGGGUAACGGCCUACCGAGGCGAUGACGGGUAGCUGGUCUGAGAGGACGGCCAGCCACACGGGGGACUGAGACACGGCCCCGACUCCUACGGGAGGCAGCAGUGAGGAAUCUUCCGCAAUGGGCGAAAGCCUGACGGAGCGACACCGCGUGUGGGAUGAAGUCUUUCGGGAUGUAAACCACUGUCGGAGGGGAAGACAAAAAGACGGUACCCUCCAAGAAGCCCGGCUAACUACGUGCCAGCCGCCGCCGUAAC
rnacentral:rRNA from 1 species